rnacentral:lncRNA from 1 species
GUAUUUUAUCAAUCAACAAGAAUGUGUCCUCAGUACACGAAUGCCCCACUCGCACUAUCAUUUUCCAUGUUCAGUGGACCGUGAAAUUGGGGUAAAAACUCUAAUUUGGCAUUAAAAGUAGAAAGAUCAUAUCAUAGGGGACAUGUGUACUAAGUUUGAAGUCGAUUGGACUUAAACUUCAUCAAAAACUACCUUGACCAAAACUUUAACCUGAAGCGGGACAGACGGACGGACGAACGGACGGACGAACGAACGGACAGACGGACGGACGGACGGACGCACAGACCAGAAAACAUAAUGCCCCUCUACUAUCGUAGGUGGGGCAUAAAAAUGAGA